GCCAUCGCCGAUAUUGACUUACUGUUAGCAUGUGGUAUUCUUUAACUGACUUAAUACCUGUCAGCGAUGCUACUGCUUUGGGUACUUUCAGGACCCGUCUUGAAACACGGACCAAGGAGUCUAACAUGUACGCAAGUCAUUGGGACUUAAAAAUAAACCUAAAGGCGUAAUGAAAGUGAAGAUUGUUGUAUGACAAUUCAGGGAAGAUGGGUUACGUUUCGAUGUAAUUCCGCAUUCCCGGGGCAUCUUAUUCUCAUU
rnacentral:rRNA from 1 species